rnacentral:rRNA from 1 species
UCCUUAGAUGUUCUGGGCCGCACGCGCGCUACACUGAAGGGAUCAGCGUGUUUUCCCUUCCCGAGAGGGACGGGUAACCCGCUGAACCCCCUUCGUGGUAGGGAUCGGAGCUUGCAAUUGUUCUCCGUGAACCAGGAAUUCCCAGUAAGCGCAAGUCAUAAGCUUGCGUUGAUUACGUCCCUGCCCUUUGUACACACCGCCCGUCGCUACUACCGAUUGAACGUUUUAGUGAGGUAUUUGGACUGGGCCUUGGGAGGUUUCGGCCUCCCUUGUUGCUCGGAAAGACUCCCAAACUUGAGCGUUUAGAGGAAGUAAAAGUCGUAACA